rnacentral:rRNA from 1 species
UACGGAGGGUGCAAGCGUUAAUCGGAAUUACUGGGCGUAAAGCGCGCGUAGGCGGUUUUUUAAGUCGGAUGUGAAAGCCCCGGGCUCAACCUGGGAACUGCAUCCGAUACUGGAAGACUAGAAUGCGGGAGAGGGAGGUAGAAUUCCAUGUGUAGCAGUGAAAUGCGUAGAUAUAUGGAGGAAUACCAGUGGCGAAGGCGGCCUCCUGGCUCGACAUUGACGCUGAGGUGCGAAAGCGUGGGGAGCAAGCGGG